rnacentral:rRNA from 1 species
CCUACGGGAUGCACCAGUGGGGAAUAUUGGACAAUGGGCGAAAGCCUGAUCCAGCAAUGCCGCGUGUGUGAUGAAGGUCUUCGGAUUGUAAAGCACUUUCGACGGGGACGAUGAUGACGGUACCCGUAGAAGAAGCCACGGCUAACUUCGUGCCAGCAGCCGCGGUAAUACGGAGGGUGCUAGCGUUGCUCGGAAUGACUGGGCGUAAAGGGCGCGUAGGCGGUGAAUCGGGUUGAAAGUGAAAGUCGCCAAAAACUGGCGGAAGACUCUCGAAACCAAUUCACUUGAGUGAGACAGAGGAGAGUGGAAUUUCGUGUGUAGGGGUGAAAUCCGGAGAUCUACGAAGGAACGCCAAAAGCGAAGGCAGCUCUCUGGGUCCCUACCGACGCUGGAGUGCGAAAGCAUGGGGGGCGAACGGGAUUAGAUACCCGGGUAGUC